UUUAGCCAAAAACUGCCACCGCUAUAUUCAGUCUCUGCAAUUCUUUUUAUCUUCUGUGCCAUUUGCAUUCUGUUCUCCGUGAUUUUUUCUUCAAUCUUCAGUCAGUAGUCAAUCCAUGGAGAAGAAGUUCCUGCCGAUAUUCAUUUCACUAAUUUUGAAGAUGUUCCUUGUGUGCCCGAUUGCGAUGACAAAUUAAAACCAUUCUUUGGCAAGAAAUGCGACACCUUGGACAAGGAAAUUGCUUUCUAUGAUGCUUAUGCUUGUGAAUCGACACACGGAAACAUGGAACCAAAUUUUCACGUGAGUGUGUUACUUGGCAAUAUAUUGUGUGCAACAGGGAAGGGUUGAAGUAUGGGAUUGAAAUGGAUCACAUUCAUGCACGUGAAGGAUUCAUUAAAAAGCGCAGACGACCACCUUGAAGAGGCACAGAAGAAGGGACCCGUUGAUGUUGAAAAGAUGGUGGCAGAGUUCCCCAAACCUUGAAUGGUGACUGUCAUUGUUUUAUAAAAAUGGCAAUAACUUUGUUUUGAUUUGGAUGUGUUCAGAAUAUUGCUUUGUUUUGGUUUACGGAUUGCUUGGUUUUAGAAUUUGGUUUUCCGCUUUGGAUGGUGAAUAUUAGCUGCUUUAUUUCAAGUUUA